AGGCAGGGCACACACUCGAGGGUUUCAGGGGGCUUGACAACAUUAUACAAUACAACUUUGUAUCUAUUCGUUGGCAUUUUAAUGGGGAAUAAUUAGCCUCAAUCGAGAUAUGGUGUACUUGUGCCAAUUGAUUGUACACAUGCACCGCGUAGCUAUGAUGUAACUGCUGAAUUUGAUUUUUGAGAUUAUACAAAAUGAACCCUAAAUCCUAUCGCUAUCGUGUAUAUUUUACGUGUAAAUAGGGGUAUGCAAUGUAAGAAGUGUGAAUGCAAUAUUAUACAAAGAUUUAUUUUAAAUCAUCAAGGUAUGAUAGACUUGGAGAUCUUUUUCUGUCACCUCACCGUCAAGAACAUCACACAUUUCGUGCAGCCGGUGCAAAGUGCCACUCUGCAAACCCACCAAAAGGCGAUAGUAGAAAAAGGCCUAUUUUUUCUUUUGCGCGUGCACGGAAGCGCGCUCACGUUUGGCAGCUCCACGUCGACAUUCUUCCAGCUGCAGAGAGUGAACCGCACGGGACUGGAGGAAGAAAGGUAGAAGCAGCACAAGGUACCUCACGAAUGGUGUUCCGAGUCCGCGUAUGGACAUCUUACCCAGUGUCCUGGCGCCUUCGCCUUGUGUUCCUGGCAUGACACGUAGCCUAAUGUUUCCAGGUCUCUCUCUGCCUCUUUUGCCAUAUGUAAUCUACUGUAAGCCCUCGUGCUGUGGAGUGCAGCUGGUCUCUCUGCGUCUACCUCUACCAGGGUCAGGGGAGUCCUCAGCCCGCUGGCUGAUGCUCUGGAACCGUCUGCUACCCAGCGCCUGUGAGGUGGCACUGUGGCUCCCCAAAUAAAGUUCUGUGAUACACUCAGACUGUAAUUGACGGUAGUCAGUGCAUUACAGAACUUUGUUUUGGGAGUAAAGUACUAACCGGGAACCGACCGACCGACCGGCUGGAGUUUGUAUGAUUGUCUCCCCCAGAUGGGACACCGUUGAUUUAACAUGCCUUUGUGUUUUUUUUAAAUUGUUUUAAAUAAACGUUUGUUCUUGAUGCA